GAGUUUGAUCAUGGCUCAGGAUGAACGCUAGCGGCAGGCCUAAUACAUGCAAGUCGAGGGGCAGCGGGAGUAGCAAUACUUGCCGGCGACCGGCGCACGGGUGCGUAACACGUAUGUAAUCUGCCCAUCACUGGGGGAUAGCCCGGAGAAAUCCGGAUUAAUACCCCAUAAUAGUUGAAGAGGCAUCUCUUUGAUUUGAAAGUUCCGACGGUGAUGGAUGAACAUGCGACUGAUUAGUUUGUUGGUGAGGUAACGGCUCACCAAGGCUACGAUCAGUAGGGGUACUGAGAGGUUAAACCCCCACACUGGUACUGAGACACGGACCAGACUCCUACGGGAGGCAGCAGUAAGGAAUAUUGGACAAUGGCCGCAAGGCUGAUCUAGCCAUGCCGCGUGCAGGAAGACGGACCUAUGGUUUGUAAACUGCUUUUGAACUAGAGAAAACCCCCCUACGUGUAGGGGGCUGAUAGUAUAGUUAGAAUAAGCAUCGGCUAACUUCGUGCCAGCAGCCGC
rnacentral:rRNA from 1 species